GAUGAACGCUGGCGGCGUGCCUAAUACAUGCAAGUCGAGCGAACGGACGAGAAGCUUGCUUCUCUGAUGUUAGCGGCGGACGGGUGAGUAACACGUGGAUAACCUACCUAUAAGACUGGGAUAACUUCGGGAAACCGGAGCUAAUACCGGAUAAUAUUUUGAACCGCAUGGUUCAAAAGUGAAAGACGGUCUUGCUGUUACUUAUAGAUGGAUCCGCGCUGCAUUAGCUAGUUGGUAAGGUAACGGCUUACCAAGGCAACGAUGCAUAGCCGACCUGAGAGGGUGAUCGGCCACACUGGAACUGAGACACGGUCCAGACUCCUACGGGAGGCAGCAGUGGGGAAUCUUCGGCAAUGGGCGAAAGCCUGACGGAGCAACGCCGCGUGAGUGAUGAAGGUCUUCGGAUCGUAAAACUCUGUUAUUAGGGAAGAACAUAUGUGGAAGUAACUGUGCACAUCUUGACGGUACCUAAUCAGAAAGCCACGGCUAACUACGUG
rnacentral:rRNA from 1 species